UACGAGGGGGGCAAGCGUUGUUCGGAAUUAUUGGGCGUAAAGGGUGCGUAGGCGGUCUGACAAGUCUGAUGUGAAAUCUAUGGGCUCAACCCAUAGUCUGACAUCGGGAACUGUCGGGCUUGAGGUAUGGGGAGAGGUGGAGUUGGAAUUUCCGGUGUAGCGGUAGAAAUGCGCAGAUAUCAGGAGGAACACCGAUGGCGAAGGCAGUGGGCUGGGCCGGCACUGACGCUGGAGGAGCGAAAGCGUGGGGAGCGAACAGG
rnacentral:rRNA from 1 species